rnacentral:piRNA from 1 species
UUGUGAAUUGAAGUUGCAUCA